GACGAACGCUGGCGGCGUGCCUAAUACAUGCAAGUAGAACGCAGUUUCGAACGGGUGAGUAACGCGUCUGUAACUUCCUCGUUGCGGGGGGUUACUAUUUGAAACGAUAGCUAAUACCCCCAUCUUUGAGAUGGACCUGCGUUGCAUUAGCUAGUUGUUGAGGUUAAGGCGCACCAAGGCGACGAUACAUAGGCGACCUGAGAGGGAGGUCGGCCACAAUGGGACUGAGACACGGCCCAAACCCCUUAGGGAGGGAACAAGAGGGAAUCUUCGGCAAUGGGGGGAAGUCUGAACGAGCAAAGCCGGGGGAGAUAAGAAGGUUUUCGGAGCGUAAAGCGCCGUUGUUAGAGAAGCGGUAACUACCCAGAAAGGAACGGCUAACUACGUGCCAGCAGCCGCGGUAAUUC
rnacentral:rRNA from 1 species